GAUCCUGGCUCAGGAUGAACGCUAGCUACAGGCUUAACACAUGCAAGUCGAGGGGCAGCGGGAUUGAAGCUUGCUUCAAUUGCCGGCGACCGGCGCACGGGUGAGUAACGCGUAUCCAACCUUCCGCUUACUCGGGGGAUAGCCUUUCGAAAGAAAGAUUAAUACCCGAUGGUAUCUUAGCACGCAUGAGAUUAAGUAUUAAAGUAAUUUAUUCGGUUAAGGACGAUGGGGAGUGCGUUCCAUUAGG
rnacentral:rRNA from 1 species